GACAAGAGCAAGAUUCUGUCUCAAAAAUAAAAUUUUAAAAGUUCUGCAAUUCUGCAUAAAGAUAAAUGCUAUUUGUUCCUGGGGGCUGGGGUCACCAGGGAGGCUUCCUGGAGGAGGAGGCAGGGCUGAGGAAUGGAUGGCAGCAGAGAGUAUUUGUGGGUGAGGCUAUGGUGCUGCUGGAGAGGCAGGGUGUGGCAGCUUGGGCUGGGGCCAGCAGUGAGCUUGGAAUUCCCCAGGGCUUUCCAGAAGCCAGAAGGCCGGGGCGGAGUGGGUUGUCCAAGAGCUUGUCUUGUCCUCUUGCCCUGGCCACAGCCGGGAAGCCCUGGGCAGGCGCCCGUGGAUAGCUGGCACGCUCAGCCUUUGGUGGAGAACUGAGAAAGUCUGAAGCAGGAAGGUGGAAAAACAUUUCGUGCUCAGGGAGGAAACGUCUUCACCCCGGUUUACAGGCAGAUCAAGAUACUGGCUCCGGUCAAAUACUGUGUUUCGACGUGAUUGACAGGCGAAGGCUUAAGGAAAAGGAAGAGGAGAAAAAAAGGGGAGGACGAUCAAGGAAAAGAGGAGAUAAAAGUGGACAACCCAGCCGGGCGCGGUGGCUCACGCCUGCCAUCCCAGCACUUUGGGAGGCGGAGGUGGGCGGAUCACGA
rnacentral:lncRNA from 1 species